GAGGACCAGGCUCACUCUGUUUUCCAAAAAAGGUUCUUCUUCAGUAGGGUCUUGCCAGGCUUGUUGGCUCACAGGCUCCCUGUGGCUUCCCUUCAUCCCCUUCAGCCUGUUCCAAACUGAGCAGCUGGGGACUUCUGUCCAAGGGUCAUAUUUCCCACACUGUUUCUCUUGAACUGACCACACCGAAUUUUGUUCCCUAUGUGGUAUGUGGGUGGAGAGGGACACAGUGGCAUUUGACAGAGCAAGUAUCAUAACCACCUCUCUAUGCAAAAUAGUAGCUGCUGUUUAUUGUGGAACUUCUAAGUGCAGGAGACACGCACAGAAGACUGUUCCCAUUUUAUAGAUAAGGUAACUGAGGCUCUUGAGGCUUAGUAACUGCCCCGGGGUUCCCACAGAGAGAGCAGAGAGUGGCAGAGAGGUUGAGAAUGCCUGCACACAGUAAGCCUGCCCAUUGGCAGCUUAGCUGAUAGCAUCCUGCCUCCUAGUGGUCAGGGUGCCUGUUCAACUCACUAUGGGGUAGGGAGGGCCUCUCCCCUCUCCUGACAUCCCAAGGGCCUAACAGCUGAUUAUUUCAAGAAGUGGCCUCAGACUCUCUGGAAUACUGGGGCCUGGGAGCAAGGGGAAGCAGCUGGCUCCCAUUCUCAGACCUUGUCACCUCUCACCCUUGGAGUGGCCAUGACAGCCUGGGGCACACAACCUUCUCGGUGCUGAUCAGAUGGAACACAGCGCUCAGUGACUGCUGUCUAGUCAGGGGUGCAUAUGGCCCCCACCCUGUAGCCCCUCCUCCCCGAGGUGGUGACUCCCACCCUGUAGCCCCUCCUCCCCGAGGUGGUGACUGACAGUAUUCUUUGUCAUUCAGCCCUACAGAUGCAGCAUGGAAACUUUCUGUACCUGGGAAAGUGGCCCUGGGGACAAGACAAAUACACACCAAAAUGGAUGCCCGGACCCAUUGCGCUUCCAGUCCUAGUCACCUGGCACCCUUCUUCUGCGAGUGCACGAAGCCCACACCAAUUAGCUAAACAACGGUUUGUCUUGCCCUUGCC